GAGAUGGAUUGGUGCCUUCGGGAACUGUGAGACAGGUGCUGCAUGGCUGUCGUCAGCUCGUGUUGUGAAAUGUUGGGUUAAGUCCCGCAACGAGCGCAACCCUUAUCCUUUGUUGCCAGCGGUCCGGCCGGGAACUCAAAGGAGACUGCCAGUGAUAAACUGGAGGAAGGUGGGGAUGACGUCAAGUCAUCAUGGCCCUUACGACCAGGGCUACACACGUGCUACAAUGGCGCAUACAAAGAGAAGCGACCUCGCGAGAGCAAGCGGACCUCAUAAAGUGCGUCGUAGUCCGGAUUGGAGUCUGCAACUCGACUCCAUGAAGUCGGAAUCGCUAGUAAUCGUAGAUCAGAAUGCUACGGUGAAUACGUUCCCGGGCCUUGUACACACCGA
rnacentral:rRNA from 1 species